GUCUUUUUGAUAAUUAUUUAAGGUCUGGCCUGCUCAAUGAAUGUUUAAAUAGCCGCAGUAUUUUGACUGUGCAAAGGUAGCAUAAUCAUUAGUUUUUUAAUUGAAAGCUGGAAUGAAGGGUCGGAUGAGAAAGUUUCUGUCUCACUUUAAUUUUGUUUGAAUUUUAUUUUUAAGUUAAAAAGCUUAGAUUUUAUAAAAAGACGAGAAGACCCUAUAGAGUUUAAUAGGUUUAGAUUUUUAUUAUUUUAGGGUUUUAUAUUGAUUGAUUUUUAACUUAUUUUGUUGGGGUGAUGUAAGAAUUGAGUUAACUUCUUUUUAUAAGAACAUUGAUUAAUGAAUAAUGGAUCCUUGAAUUUGGAUUGAAAGAAUAAAUUACCUUAGGGAUAACAGCGUAAUUCUUUUGGAGAGUUCUAAUCGAUAAAAGGGAUUGCGACCUCGAUGUUGGAUUAAAGUUUAAUUUUGGUGUAGAAGCUAUAAUUUUGAGUCUGUUCGACUCUUAAAACUUU
rnacentral:rRNA from 1 species